AGUUGAGGAAGGUGAAGAUGAUGAGGAAAUUAAUUUGACACAAAUACGAUCCUUGACAUUGGAUAAUCUACCUCAACUUACAAGCUUUUGUUCCCAAGGCCAAGGGAGGGUGUGUUCUGCAUCCCAAAGAACGCAAAAGGAAGCAGCAGUUGCUACAAGCUCUAAAGAAAUUGUAUGCGAGGACAAGAAUGAAGCUCCGUUGCCACUUUUCAGCAAAAAGAUUGGAUUCCCUAAUUUGGAAGAUAUCAAAUUGUCUGGGAUUAAUGUGAAAAUGAUAUGGCCUAAUCAACAUAUAGAAUCACAUCUAUAUAUUGAAAAAUUAACAACCUUGAUUGUGGAUGGCUGUGGGAAUCUAAACUAUCUAUUCACAUCCUCUAUUGUUGGAAGUCUCGCACAACUCAAAACACUUGAGAUAUGUGAGUGCAAAUCCAUGGAAGAAGUAAUAAUUGCAGAAGGAGAAGGUGAAAUGAUGAGCAAAAUGCUAUUCCCUAAACUACACUCGCUGAAGCUCAAAGGUCUUCCCAGAAUUGUAAGAUUUUGCACAGCUAACUUAAUUGAAUGUCCCUCCUUGAAAGUGCUGCGGGUAGAUAACUGCCCUCAUCUACAUGCUUUUCUCUCUACUUGCACAAGCAAAAAUGUGGGAACUAGCAGCGGAGUUACACAAGCGAACGCAACUCUCUUUGAUGAAAAGGUGUGGUUUCCUAAUUUGGAGGAAUUGUAUAUUAUGCACAUGCAUAGGUUGGAGAUGAUAUGGUGUGAUGAACUCCUAGCAGAUUCCUUUUCUAGAUUGAAAGUGCUACAAGUACAAUAUGGGAAACAACUACUGAAAAUUUUUCCAUCUAAGUUGUUGGGUCGAUUCCUUCAAAAUCUAGAAUUAUUGGUUGUAAAGAAUUGUGAUUCAGUGGAAGAGGUGUUUGAUCUCCGGGCAUUAGUAAGAGUAAGCGAAGCACCUGUUGUGGAGCGCAGUCAAUUGAGAAUUUUGGACAUAGGGGACCUUCCAAAUCUGAAGCAAGUAUGGAAUAUGGAUCCUCAUGGGAUUCUCUCCUUCUAUAACCUACGCCUAGUGUAUGCUUGGAAUUGUCCAAAGUUGAAAAGCCUCUUCCCAUUUUCAAUAGCUCUAGGUCUACCACAUCUUGAAUUGCUUAGCAUAAAUGGAUGUGGGAUGGAGGAAGUCGUUGCUAAGGAGGAAAGCGUAGAGGCAAUUACUAUUAAUCCUAAGUUUGUGUUUCGUGGACUAAAGGCCUUGGUCCUUCGUCAAUUAAAAGAAUUGAGGUGUUUUUAUUCAGAAAAACACAGUUUAGAAUGUACACAGCUAAAACAUUUACGCGUGUGUGGAUGUGAAAAAUUGAAAACUUUCAAUUCAGAAUCUCAAGAAAUGCAAGAAAUACUUAUGGAUGGGCAAGAGAGCCAAUUGAAGAUUCAAGUUCCGCAGCCCCUUUUCGCAUUUAGAGAGAUUGUUGGCAAUUUGGAGCAAUUAGCGCUAAACAACGAGGACAUUGCAAUGAUACAGCAAAGCCACUUUCCAAUAGAUCUCUUUUUCAAACUAAAAAUUCUCCUUCUGCAAAGCUUUUAUGAUGCUUCAGUGAAUUUGCCUUUUAAUAUUCUUUCAAAAUUCCCAAAUUUGGAAAAGCUUGUUUUAGACAGCUGUUAUUUCAGAGAGUUACUCCCACAUGGUGUUGUUGGUGA
rnacentral:misc_RNA from 1 species